GCCUCCGUGGUGUAGCGGUCAGCACGCUCGACGUGUUUUCGAGAGGUACAUGGUUCGAGUCCCGGUGAGGGCA
rnacentral:tRNA from 1 species